rnacentral:lncRNA from 1 species
AAGAACAUCAUCCUUUAUAAAUAUACCAUGCUAUUUAGAGAAACGUAUUAAAUAUAAUUUGGUACUUGACAAGUUGUAAAGAACUUGGAGGAAGGGAGCAUCAAAUCAAACUCUUCCAAUAUUUGAAACCGCUCAUAUGCUGUCAGAUUUUACAGAGUCAAUAAUUUCUUCCCCUUAAUUCAGAAAGCUGAAUGAAGCGUCAUCAAUAAAUACGACAAAACUAUAUUGCCAGUGAAACCUUGAGAUCCAGAGAUGUCAACUUCCUCCCCGGAAACCUCCUUCCCCUCAACUUCUGCCGUCGACGCCGGCAACCAUCUCCGGAUCUCCAUCACAAUCUCGGUUCACCACGGAACCAAUUCAAUUUCAUUAUCAGCCUCUCCAUUCCCUACCAGAUCACCGUUACUCACACGCAGGCCAUAAUCACUCAAACGCAGAGCAUAGGAACAGGAACAUACUUAAAUAAGCAAGCGCCGUGCCUCUGAGCUUAGAGACGGAUACUUGGACCAUCAGUUUGAAUCCCGAUUCCUCUCGUCAGCGGCCAAUGUCAUCGAACGCAGCAAAGAAACAUGCCAAAUACAAAGAAGAGACGAAUUGAACAGAACACGUUCAGAAUCAAUCCUGAUGAUGAUGAAAUAUAACCCGAACCGAAUCAAUGCACCAAGAAAAUAAUGAGUCUACGUCUGCGCAUCUUCAGUUCGAACGAAACCGCAAUCCAUUCAAUGUCAGUGACUAAGAGGCAUAUUACCAAACACUCGGUGGUCAACAAAUCGGGAAGUAAAAUUACGCUGUCUCAGGCUCGAAUUCACGGCCUGAUUCCAAGCAAGAUCAACCAGCAGCACUCCGAACAAGACAACAACCCAAUCGCGCCCAAUGCCUGCUUUAAUCCUAAAAGAAAGAACAUCGAUCUCGAUAGCAAGGAUAAUAAUAGAUAUUACCUGGCCCGUGACGUUUGCAUUGCGACGAACGCUCGAAUCGGCAACAAGACCUUUCGCGAUUCAACCGACGAACGAAAUCCUGGCAUCGCAGAGGAUUCCAACCUUCGAAUCAGCUCGGCCAAGAGCAGAGCCAAACCGGUACCAACGCGAGUCCGGCUCAUUAGCCAACGCAGCUGAGAUCACGAACGGCGGUGAACGGCGGCGGACGGCGGCGACAGAAAAGUAGCUUGAUCAUCUUCAGCUCCAUCAGCCGAUGCUCUUCAUCUCCUCAAACCGAAAUCCGUUAAUCUCUCAGUGACGUGACGUGACGUGCUCC